rnacentral:rRNA from 1 species
GACGAACGCUGGCGGCGUGCUUAACACAUGCAAGUCGAGCGGUAAGGCCCUUUCGGGGUACACGAGCGGCGAACGGGUGAGUAACACGUGGGUGACCUGCCUUUAGCUCUGGGAUAAGCCUGGGAAACUGGGUCUAAUACCGGAUAUGACUCCGCGGUGCAUGCUGUGGGGUGGAAAGCCUUGUGCGGCUGGAGAUGGGCCCGCGGCCUAUCAGCUUGUUGGUGGGGUGAUGGCCUAACCAAGGCGA